rnacentral:rRNA from 1 species
UCAAACAAGAAAGAGCGCAGGGUGGAUGCCUUGGCACUAAGAGCCGAUGAAGGACGUGAUAAGCUGCGAAAAGCUGCGGGGAGGAGCAAAUAUCCAUUGAUCCGCAGGUAUCCGAAUGGGGAAACCCACCUGGAUAGACUCCAGGUAUCCAUACGCCAAUCCAUAACGUAUGGAAGGGAACCCGGUGAACUGAAACAUCUAAGUAGCCGGAGGAAAAGAAAGAAAACUCGAUUCCCAGAGUAGCGGCGAGCGAAAUGGGAGGAGCCUAAACCAGCGUGCGUGCAUGCUGGGGUUAUGGACUGCAUAAGUUACYGGAAASGAUAGUGGAAUGGUUUUGGGAAAGCCAGCCAGAGAGGGUGAAAGCCCCGUACACGAAAUCCGGACCGGGACGGCAGGAUCCAGAGUACCACGAGACACGUGGAACCUUGUGGGAAGUCGGGGGGACCACCCCCCAAGGCUAAAUACUCCUUAGUGACCGAUAGCGCAUAGUACUGUGAAGGAAAGGUGAAAAGGACCCCGGGAGGGGAGUGAAAGAGAACCUGAAACCCUGUGUUUACAAGCUGUGGGAGCACCUUAUGAGUGCGACCGCGUACUUUUUGUAGAACGGUCCGGCGAGUUACGCUGGCUGGCGAGGUUAAACGGUAGAGCCGUGGAGCCGAAGGGAAACCAAGUCUUAAGAGGGCGGAAAAGUCAGUCAGAGUAGACCCGAAACCGGGUGAUCUAUCCAUGUCCAGGUUGAAGUUGCCGUAAAAGGCAAUGGAGGACCGAACCCACAUCCGUUGAAAAGGGUGGGGAUGAGGUGUGGAUAGGGGAGAAAUUCCAAUCGAACCCGGAGAUAGCUGGUUCUCCUCGAAAUAGCUUUAGGGCUAGCCUCGAUAGAGUCUUGCGGAGGUAGAGCACUGAAUUUCCUAGGGGGCGUCAAAGCUUACCGAAGAAUAUCAAACUCCGAAUGCCGUGUAGAUGCUUAUCGGGAGUCAGACUAUACGAGAUAAGUUGGAUAGUCAAAAGGGAAAGAGCCCAGACCUCCAGCUAAGGUCCCAAAGUACGUGUUAAGUGGAAAAGGAUGUGGGAUUUCGAAGACAACCAGGAUGUUGGCUCAGAAGCAGCCAUACAUUCAAAGAGUGCGUAAUAGCUCACUGGUCGAGAGGUCCUGCGCCGAAAAUGUCCGGGGCUGAAACACGACACCGAAGCUGAGGAAUGUCUGAAGACAUUGGUAGAGGAGCAUUGGAUACGCAACGAAGCAGUACCGGAAGGAGCUGUGGAGUGUAUCGAAGAGAGAAUGCCGGAAUGAGUAGCGAGAGAGAGGUGGGAAUCCUCUCGGCCGAAUAUCUAAGGUUUCCAGGGUAAAGCUGAUCUGCCCUGGGUAAGUCGGGGCCUAAGGCGAGGACGAGAGUCGUAGCCGAUGGACAACAGGUUGAGAUUCCUGUACUGCAGUAAGACAGAACUGUGGGGACACGUGUGGAGAGCAUAGGCGCGGAAUGGAAAGCCGCGUGCAAGCGAGGUAGGAGUCCUGUAGGAAAAACCGCAGGGCAAUCCGAAGGCGUGAUGCGGACCGAAAUCUAGUAGGGAAGUAUGUGAGCCAUGCGUCAAGAAAAGCCGCUAUUGUUCUUAUUGUACCCGUACCGUAAACCGACACAGGUGGAUGAGGAGAGAAUCCUAAGGCCGACGGAAGAAGCAUUGUUAAGGAACUCGGCAAAAUGACCCCGUAACUUCGGGAGAAGGGGUGCCACAGAAAUGUGGCCGCAGAGAAUAGGCUCAAGCAACUGUUUAGCAAAAACACAGGUCUAUGCAAAACCGAAAGGUGAGGUAUAUGGGCUGACGCCUGCCCGGUGCUGGAAGGUUAAGAGGAGAGGUUAGCGCAAGCGAAGCUUUGAAUUGAAGCCCCAGUAAACGGCGGCCGUAACUAUAACGGUCCUAAGGUAGCGAAAUUCCUUGUCGGGUAAGUUCCGACCCGCACGAAAGGCGUAAUGAUUUGAGCGCUGUCUCGACAAUGCAUCCGGUGAAAUUGAAGUACCAGUGAAGAUGCUGGUUACCUGCGCCAGGACGGAAAGACCCCAUGGAGCUUUACUCCAGCUUGAUACUGGGAUUCGGUAUUGCAUGUACAGGAUAGGUGGGAGGCUGAGAAUCGGUAACGCCAGUUGCCGAGGAGCCGUUGUUGG